UUCACUGCAGGUUGACCUUGUCUAGAGGAGCAUUAGUGGAAAAAAAACAGGGUAGCCCUGAGACAAUAGGAUGCCGUCACGACCAAUGAGACUGGCCUGCAGGGGGCGUAAGGAUUCACUUCUCUCUUGGACACUGGCGGGUGUAGACACGGUAAUUAUGAUCCUGGCGUUGGCCGUCAGUGGAAGAGCGUAGCUUAGGUGGGGUUCUGUCUGCCUCUGAUGGGGUGUGGAUGUAUGGUUCGUCACUGGUGAAUGGUGUUCGACGAUGCAGGUGGAUUUUGUGACGAGCGGAUUUACAAUGAGGGAAUGCUGUGAACGGGAAAAAUGAUGAGCUGUCCUAACUUGCCCAGACAUGCCGUGAUGACGUCACAGGAUGUCCGGAACUGGUGGUCAUAGCUGCGAUGCUUUGCAACCUGCCUCUGUGCUCCGUCGCCCAGCGACGGUCAGCGGCCUUUCCGGACCGCUUUCUUCAAGAUGGCGCCGUUGAUCUUCAAUUAAACUCCUUCUCUCCACUCUA